CAACAGGAAAUUAAAGGUUUCAUUCAGACCCAUAACAUAUAUUUCUGAAUAUGUAGGCUAACAAUUGCAUAUUUACAUAGAAAUAUACAUAAACAUGCAAUCUGCAAAAUAUCAUAACAUGUAGAUAUUUCAAUAACUUAUAAUACAUCCAAUCAAAUUCACAUGUACAUAAAUAGAGCAAAUGUAACAGUACAGUGAAAUGCUUACUUGCAGCUCUUCCUCAACAGUACAAAAUUCAUAAUAAAAAAAAAUGAAUACAACGCACUGUAGGCUACAGUAGUUCUAUUGUAGGCAUAUAUCAAAUCAAUACAAAUAGCAUAUAUGCAGCAACUUUACAAAUUACCAUAUAUUUCUCUAUUUGACAUUUCUACGUGCUGGCAACAACAUCGCCGCGUUUUAAUGUUUAGAAACAUCAAUAAUCGUCGCUUGCAAAACGGGUUUCGAAACAUAUGCCCCUUAGCUUUCAUAUCAGCGAGAAAUAAUCUUUCAAAUAAAAAAAUGACAUUUACUGUAGCAGUUUUACACACAUCCAUACAUUGUGUGUGCCUCCAGUUGAACUACACUUCCUCCCAAGUUAAGCUUACACGCUAGAUACUAAUUAUCACAGGUGGCGGUCUCGGUCCUCCAUCUGUCUUCCGUAAACAAGCGCUGUAACAUGGAGACAUGGAAAACUAACCCUAUAUAAGUUGCCUGGGAGGAGAAUGCAGAACCCUGCAUUACCUCAACACCAGUUAAGGAAGGGGAAGGGAAAGGUAAUUGGAACGGAACAGAGGGAGAGAGGACAUACAAUCUCAAUUCAUCUUUCUUCGAUUCCUUGCAUCAUAUCGCCUUGCCUCCUUUUCAACUGUAUCAGAGUAUGUUACGCAGGGAUGGGAGAAGGGGGAUAAUUCGGAUAACACCCCUCCUGGAUUCUGCAGCCCAUUUUGCAUGACUGUGGAAGGGUUCUUUGAUUUCCAAAUCUCUGUCAUUCUCUCUAUCAUAAUUCCAAUGGAUAUGUUGUGGAUGAUAUGAGUGGGUGUAAUGGAUUAAAACCAGUGUGAGGAUGUGGACUAUUUACUACAAGAUGAAGAUUCAAUCACAGUAGGGGUCAUUAACCCAGUCUUGAUUGUGGAAAUUCUGAGUGUCACGUCUUUUAUUGGACUUAACACUGCUCUGCAGAGAUGAUCAACAAAACAUCCACCCAGAGAACUAGGGGUGAAAUCAUUACGCCGAUUCUCUUGCAAAAUGUUUUGCAACAGAAAUGGUUUACUCCAAAUGGAAAACACAAACUAGAGUUUAUAUUGGACAAAUUCAGGUAGGUUCCUCCCCAUUUUGUUCCGUUUGCUUCCAUUUGGUUCUCAAAUGGUAAACAGUUUCCGUAAUGAAUACACACCAGGAGAAUGUCCUUGCUGUUUGCGGGAGCCCCAUCAGUCAGAGCAGGAAACCCCGGCCAAGCCCAGGCCACAGUAUUACACUGACAUGUCCUGUCCAGUGUGUCUACAGAACAGUGGUGUGUAUUCAUGGACGCCAAGGGAAGCCAGGCUUCCCCAAAAAAUGUACCCAUUAAAAAAUAUAUAUUUAUUCUCUCUGUGUUGCAUAAUAUUUGUCGUUUGCCAGUUCGUCUUGUCUCAUCAAGGCUACCAGCAUGUUUUUCCAUACUCCUGUUCUCUUUAGUCCCUGUUUUCUAGUUCUUCCGGUUUUGACCAUUCUGCCUGCCCAGAGCCUGCCUGCCGUUCUGUACUUUACGGACUCUGUCCUGGAUUACCGACCUCUGCCUGCCCUUGACCUGUCGUUUGCCUGCCUCCUGUUUUGUUAAUAAACUUCUGUGAUUCGAAC
rnacentral:lncRNA from 1 species